AUUGAACGCUGGCGGCAGGCUUAACACAUGCAAGUCGAGCGGGGUGAUGGUGCUUGCACUAUCACUUAGCGGCGGACGGGUGAGUAAUGCUUAGGAAUCUGCCUAUUAGUGGGGGACAACAUCUCGAAAGGGAUGCUAAUACCGCAUACGUCCUACGGGAGAAAGCAGGGGAUCACUUGUGACCUUGCGCUAAUAGAUGAGCCUAAGUCGGAUUAGCUAGUUGGUGGGGUAAAGGCCUACCAAGGCGACGAUCUGUAGCGGGUCUGAGAGGAUGAUCCGCGACACUGGGACUGAGACACGGCCCAGACUCCUACGGGAGGCAGCAGUGGGGAAUAUUGGACAAUGGGGGGAACCCUGAUCCAGCCAUGCCGCGUGUGUGAAGAAGGCCUUAUGGUUGUAAAGCACUUUAAGCGAGGAGGAGGCUCUUUUGGUUAAUACCCAAGAUGAGUGGACGUUACUCGCAGAAUAAGCACCGGCUAACUCUGUGCCAGCCGCCGCAGCAA
rnacentral:rRNA from 1 species